rfam:Picea glauca, whole genome shotgun sequence.
ACAUUCUUACAACAUAGUGUUAAUGCAUUGGAUUCCAUUAGAACUCCGUAGUUAGGCAUGCUUGUGCUAGAGUAGUAUUGGAAUGUAAUGUUCCUGACUUGGCUAGUCUAGGAAUGUA